AAUGGCUGUGUCUACUACCGCGCACUUAACGAAGUACACUGCAAUACAGUGCACUGCAAUUCAGUGCACUGCAUUGCAGUGCACUGCGUCGCUGAUGAAGUGCUGUCUCAAAUGGAACACUUAACCGUUAACCACUUGGCGGAAGUGACGGACGCAAAUCUGUUCACGGCACCCGCGAAAUUAAGCCGGGAGUGACGUAUGCAAAUCUGCUUGCGAUCCCGUAACCCUUAAAGUGACCAAAUGAAGCACUUCUUGCCCUCUUGUUGUCCCUUGUUUACCUUUCUCCACCCCAUGUGGAAACUGCGAUACCUCCACCAUCGCGGCAGGAGCCUCCGCCUUCUGGCUGAAGUCGAGAUGCAGCCACCCAGUCCCAGGCGGCGCUGCCGUAUCAAUGUUGCAAUGCCACUGCUGGCGUUGUAUUGUGAUGGCCAGUGACAUGAGGGUGGACUUCAGGCUCACCGAGUCAUUCAACGCCCUCAUGGCUGUGCUGGGCACUGACUGACCACGGUUGGGGCCCGAGAUCUCCUGUCUAGUUUUUAUUUUUUGGCUUGCCAGCGCCACCUCCUAUCGGGUGGUGGCCAGGGCCUUCGACAGGCCCCGGGCUCAGUGCAUGAUGCCA